GGGGGGGGGGUGCUAUACAUGCAAGUCGAGCGGACUUGUAGGAGCUUGCUCCUGCAGGUUAGCGGCGGACGGGUGAGUAACACGUGGGCAACCUACCUGUAAGACUGGGAUAACUUCGGGAAACCGGAGCUAAUACCGGAUGACAUAAAGGAACUCCUGUUCCUUUAUUGAAAGAUGGCUUCGGCUAUCACUUACAGAUGGGCCCGCGGCGCAUUAGCUAGUUGGUGAGGUAACGGCUCACCAAGGCGACGAUGCGUAGCCGACCUGAGAGGGUGAUCGGCCACACUGGGACUGAGACACGGCCCAGACUCCUACGGGAGGCAGCAGUAGGGAAUCUUCCGCAAUGGACGAAAGUCUGACGGAGCAACGCCGCGUGAACGAUGAAGGCCUUCGGGUCGUAAAGUUCUGUUGUUAGGGAAGAACAAGUGCUAGUUGAAUAAGCUGGCACCUUGACGGUACCUAACCAGAAAGCCACGGCUAACUACGUGCCAGCAGCCGCGGUAAUACGUAGGUGGCAAGCGUUGUCCGGAAUUAUUGGGCGUAAAGCGCGCGCAGGCGGUUUCUUAAGUCUGAUGUGAAAGCCCCCGGCUCAACCGGGGAGGGUCAUUGGAAACUGGGAAACUUGAGUGCAGAAGAGGAAAGUGGAAUUCCAAGUGUAGCGGUGAAAUGCGUAGAGAUUUGGAGGAACACCAGUGGCGAAGGCGACUUUCUGGUCUGUAACUGACGCUGAGGCGCGAAAGCGUGGGGAGCAAACAGGAUAGACCCC
rnacentral:rRNA from 2 species